UUCAGUUCAUCCUAUUUUUAAAAUUAGCAACAGAUGAUAAAUUUUUAUUCAACAAAUAUUUUAAGAGAAACUUCAGAUUCAGGUUAUGGUCAAUUAUAUGCAAGAAGAGUGGGAAUGGAGGAGGAAAGAAAAGAAAUCAAAUUUUUAUUUUUAUUAAAUAUAUUCUCUUGGCACAAAUCUUAAAAUAUAAACAUUAUAUAUAUAUAUAUAUAAACAAAGUAUUUUCACUGCAUCAAAAUAUAACUCCAGACCAAUAAAAGCAAUCGAAAUUGACACAUGGACAGCAAUAACACAUCUUUACAAAAGGCAUUUAACAGUGUCAUGUGUUAUGUGCAUAGGCAAGCUAGGUGGACAACAGUGUCAAGUCCCUGCAAAACACAGCAUUUGGGGAGAACCAGGCAUUAGGGAGUUGGUUAUUCAGAAACGCAGCAUAGGGAGGCCAAAAGGCCCAAGAGUACCUGAUUCUAAAGCUCUUGAAAGGUUUCGGGACCAAAAUCUUUCUGUCUGAUCCAAUUCGGAAAAUUGCACUUUUUCCAAGAACUUCUCACUCACAAAGGCCACUCACACAUGCACACAAAGCACCUCUUGCUCACUCGCUUGUUCAUACACUCCCACUAUUAGAUCUACUGGUUCUGAGACCACAUCACAGCUGAUGUGAACUCUGGGCUUGUCCAUGUCUUCCUGUACUUCCUCUAGGGAAGUCUGGGGUAGAUUGCUGCUUUUAAAACAGGCUAAACCAACAGGGUUCAUUUAACCUUCCUGUCAAAUGGCUCAGCAAAAUACCCCAAAAUUCUCCAAUGAAGAAAAGGUCUCCCCUGGCUGUACUUUCCCUUCCAGCAAUGUUGAUAGUUUCUACUAAAGCUUAGCUCAACCAGAGUAUGAGGAAAUGGAAGGUAACCUGGCUUCAAAUAUCCAGCAUCACAUUUCUGUGGUCUGGCUGGGCUUCAGCAACUGUUAAAUUCAUGUAUCGCCCUGGAGACUAAAAAGGCCCAAAGGGAAGCAGCUGCCAUAGCAGGGCAAAGAUACUGGGGUGCUGGUGUUCCUGGAUUUUUCUUUCUUAAAUCUGUUCCCUGAUUUGCGAUCUCUGACCAAGAAGAUGCUUCAUCUGGAAGAUGGAUGGGGGAGCUAUGGACAAGAAAAAAAUGACCCUCAUUCUUGAAUGCUCCAUUUCCAUCAAAGGAAGGACCCUGCAUUGGAUUUCUGCCAUUCAGACUCAGAAUGUGCACAGGAUCAUUAUGGCAAACUCCUUAAAAGACAGGCCUUUCCUGAUAGCAUUUGCUUACAUGGAACAGGGGCAGACAACAAUUUCAAACUGUUCUCCCUCGGAAACAUGCAGCUUGGCCAAAAUGCCUCCUGGGUAACAAAAUCCCCGAGAGCACUGAGGUCAGAGGGAGGAAUAACAGGAUAAUGUAACAUGAUGUGCUUGGCAGAGAAUGUACAAAAGGCCAGAAUACAGCACAAUCUCCAACAACAAACCCAUGGAGAAAGAAAGAGAUGCUGGGCCAGUAGAGGAGAAUGAGCUGAGCUCAGAAAACAGUGGGGAGAGAGUGGUGUGAAGAUCAGAGCCCUUGCCUUCCCACAAAAAGCUUGCAGCCUGGGGGGAGUGGGAAGACUUCCCCUUAGAAUCAUGACCCAUUUCUGACUCCUCUGUUCAGGCAGGAUUAAAAUUACAGGAUAGGUAUGCCAUGUGCAAAAUGUGAACAGAGAAGGCUCUUCACACCCAUAAGCCAAGCACUAGACAAGGAAAAAAAAAAUCUCUAUUUAAAAUGCAUGUAAGACAAACAGAUUUUACACACACACACACACACACACACACACACACACACCUGCAGCUACUUUCAUACACAAAGAAAGUUGCAAAGUUUCCUUCAACCCCCAACCAAAACUACUUUAGGAAAUGGAACUAAAAUGAUUAACUCUGUCAUGUGAAUAAACAUGAGGAUCAGGGAAAUAUUUUGCUGGAAAUAAAAUUUGAAAAAAUGAAUUUCUAAGGCCCACUAUAACUGCUAUUACAUCACAGGAGGAUUUUCAAAUGUAUUGUUCAGUACAUUGGGCUAUCUCCAAAGUCCUUUUUUUUUUUUUUUUCAAUUCCAGUUUAAACUUCUGAAGGACACCAUAAGGACUUGUUGGAGAUUGCCCAAAUGUGAUCUCAUUUCAGGCCAACAAAUGGUGACAUAGCCAAAUUUAAGCUCCUGUCUUUUCUACCUCUAUUUUAAAACAUGACACAAAAUCCUGUGGAUGCUAGUUUCCCUAAAGACGGAUUUGGGAAGUGUUACUGGAAGGGGGUGUCAAAACACAGCACUCAGAAACGAACACAGCACAAGACUUAAAAGGGCCACUCAAAGCAAGUCUUGGCUUCCCAGGUGCCUAAAACCAUAUGAGAUCGUGCUGGGCUGGAGGGGGCUCAGUGGGGAUAGACGACUGUCAUCCCCUUCCUCCUGCCCUGCCUUUUAGGAAAGUACAGCUUAUUUUCCUCAAGGGUCUGGGAAUGGCACUUUCCAUACCAUUUAGAAGGAGACCCUCACUAUUCCUAUACCACUACCUAGAGUUAAUGCUUCACCAGGGAUACCUUCCUAGUAACAGGAAGCUUAACAAUCCAGAUUCUGAAAGUACAGCUACAGGACCUUGUGAUGAUAGAGAAAUACUUAAAUAUCCAAGUUGAUUGUCCUUAGCUGAGUGGGACUUGAUUGCAAAAUGGGAGCUCAUCCCGUUAGCUAUUUGGCUUUAAAGCAAUCUCUGUCCAGAGUGCAAAAUCAGAACCAAACACAAGGGCAUUCAAAUUUCACUGACUGUGCAAUGAUCUUCAUUCUACACUAAUGAAGUCAUGAUACAGAUUUUGACCUUUAAAAAAUCAUAGUUAAAAAUACCAACAUUGGAAAAGGACUUUCUCUGCACCCUGUGAUUUAUCACAUGCAGUCCUUUCCAUCUGAGCAGCAACCCUCUGAGAAAAGAAAAUCUCUUUCCAUGCCCCUUCCUGCUUCUGGUGUGUGCUGGGCCUCCUCAUUGUAGAACCCCGGGACCCUCCAGGAUGUGGGACCCUCUCUUGUGUUUCUUGUGCUCCAAGAUGUCGCUUAGGAUAAUUUGAUAUGUUCCCCAUCCCUUUAAAAGUAUGGGUGGGUGGGGAGGUGCUAAGCCAGAGGUGCAAAACCUCUCCAGGAAAUACCAUAAUGGACACUUCAAAGUGCCAGGCUGUGUGCCAACUCCUCAAAGUGGCCCCGAGCGAGGCCUUGUUCUUCAGGAUCCAUGGUCCAUGGAGAACUGGGGAACUAUGGCACCCGAGAAUGAGAUCAGGUGGCAGUUACAUGACUAUGAGUCACUGUGGGAGGGACCUAUUGGAGGGUACCAUUUUCUAUGAGCAAAUCCAAGAUGAGCCUGCUCUAUUUUAAGCACAGAGGCUGAUCUACCCACCAGCUGUAAAAAAAAGCAUAUUGAUGAGUAAACUCCUAAGAAAACAAGGAUUUACAUUCCUUGAUCUGCUAUAUCUGGUGAGAGACUGAAUUCUUCUUUAAGCUGGUCACUUAGCAGCAAUUAUAUUCAAUGAAGGAAAUGACCUAUGAUUUUCAAGUUUACAAAAUUCCCUGUUUAAAAUCUCAAAAUAUUUGACAUUUCCAGGGAAAUAAGGAAGUUCGUGGUACUCACACAUCAGACAAUGAAUGCUAUACAAAGAAUGAAAGCAUUUGAGGAGGGAUAUGGUAGUGAUAGGAAUCUACACUUACUUUCUAUAACAGUUUUGUAAGACUUAGGAGGGUUCAAAGUAUAUUCAUCACAUGCCAUUGGGAUAAAAUUUACCUACUUCCAACAGCUCAUGAGCAGAAAUUUAAGAUGGUCCCACAGACCCUUUAAUCCCAUUGACUUUUUUCACAGCCACGGACAGAUUAAAUGCAACAAGUCCUAGACCCUGGAUAAGAAAGAAUUUGGGAUUCUUGAUUUUGAUGAAUCCAUUUCCCUUCUGGGGACCAAUUUUUAAAAAAUGAAUAUUAGAACUCUUGAAUUUUUUCUUUUUUCAAAAGAAUAUUAAUCUCAAUUCAGGUAUCUAGUAGACAACCAAACUUUGAAAAGUGAAAUACUGCACUUUGUAGGAUAUUUAAAACCAAA